UACGUAGGGUGCGAGCGUUAAUCGGAAUUACUGGGCGUAAAGCGUGCGCAGGCGGUUAUGCAAGACAGAUGUGAAAUCCCCGGGCUCAACCUGGGAACUGCAUUUGUGACUGCAUGGCUAGAGUACGGUAGAGGGGGAUGGAAUUCCGCGUGUAGCAGUGAAAUGCGUAGAUAUGCGGAGGAACACCGAUGGCGAAGGCAAUCCCCUGGACCUGUACUGACGCUCAUGCACGAAAGCGUGGGGAGCAAACAGG
rnacentral:rRNA from 1 species